rnacentral:rRNA from 1 species
CUACGGGAGGCAGCAGUAAGGGAUAUUGCGCAAUGGGCGAAAGCCUGACGCAGCAACGCCGCGUGGAGGAUGACGGCCUUCGGGUUGUAAACUCCUUUUGGCUCGGACGAGGAAGGACGGUACGGGCUGAAGAAGUCACGGCUAACUACGUGCCAGCAGCCGCGGUAAAACGUAGGUGGCAAGCGUUAUCCGGAUUUACUGGGCGUAAAGGGUGUGCAGGCGGUCGUGCAAGUGGUGUAUGAAAUCGCCCGGCUUAACCGGGCGGGGUUAGGCCAGACUGCGCGACUGGAGUGCGGGAGAGGGGCGUGGAAUUCCGGGUGUAGUGGUGAAAUGCGUAGAGAUCCGGAGGAACCCCAGCGGCGAAGGCGGCGCCCUGGCCCGACACUGACGCUCAGACACGACAGCAUGGGGAGCGAACGGGAUUAGAAACCCGAGUAGUCCU